GACGAACGCUGGCGGCGUGCCUAACACAUGCAAGUCGAACGGUGACCUCGAGAGCUUGCUCUCGAGUGAUCAGUGGCGAACGGGUGAGUAACACGUGAGUAACCUACCCCUGACUCUGGAAUAACAAUUGGAAACAGUUGCUAAUACCGGAUACGACACGAGCGGGCAUCCGCAUCGUGUGGAAAGUUUUUCGGUCUGGGAUGGACUCGCGGCCUAUCAGCUUGUUGGUGAGGUAACGGCUCACCAAGGCGACGACGGGUAGCCGGCCUGAGAGGGCGGCCGGCCACACUGGGACUGAGACACGGACCAGACGCCUACGGGAGGCAGCAGUGGGGAAUAUUGCACAAUGGGCGAAAGCCUGAUGCAGCGACGCCGCGUGAGGGAUGACGGCCUUCGGGUUGUAAACCUCUUUCAGUAGGGAAGAAGCGAAAGUGACGGUACCUACAGAAGAAGCACCGGCUAACUACGUGCCAGCCGCCGCAGUAACAC
rnacentral:rRNA from 1 species